rnacentral:rRNA from 1 species
GGGGAAUAUUGCACAAUGGGCGCAAGCCUGAUGCAGCGACGCCGCGUGAGGGAUGACGGCCUUCGGGUUGUAAACCUCUCUCAGUGCCGACGAAGCGGAAGUGACGGUAGGCACAGAAGAAGGACCGGCCAACUACGUGCCAGCAGCCGCGGUAAUACGUAGGGUCCGAGCGUUGUCCGGAAUUACUGGGCGUAAAGAGCUCGUAGGUGGUUUGUCGCGUUGUCCGUGAAAACUCACAGCUUAACUGUGGGCGUGCGGGCGAUACGGGCAGACUAGAGUACUGCAGGGGAGACUGGAAUUCCUGGUGUAGCGGUGGAAUGCGCAGAUAUCAGGAGGAACACCGGUGGCGAAGGCGGGUCUCUGGGCAGUAACUGACGCUGAGGAGCGAAAGCGUGGGGAGCGAAC